UACGUAGGGCGCAAGCGUUGUCCGGAAUUAUUGGGCGUAAAGAGCUUGUAGGCGGUUUGUCGCGUCUGCUGUGAAAUUUCGGGGCUCAACCCCGAACUUGCAGUGGGUACGGGCAGACUAGAGUGCGGUAGGGGUGACUGGAAUUCCUGGUGUAGCGGUGGAAUGCGCAGAUAUCAGGAGGAACACCGAUGGCGAAGGCAGGUCACUGGGCCGCAACUGACGCUGGAGGAGCGAAAGCAUGGGGAGCGAACAGG
rnacentral:rRNA from 1 species